rnacentral:rRNA from 1 species
UACGGGGGGGGCAAGCGUUGUUCGGAAUUACUGGGCGUAAAGGGCUCGUAGGUGGCUAACUAAGUCAGACGUGAAAUCCCUCGGCUUAACCGGGGAACUGCGUCUGAUACUGGAUGGCUUGAGUUCGGGAGAGGGAUGCGGAAUUCCAGGUGUAGCGGUGAAGUGCGUAGAUAUCUGGAGGAACACCGGUGGCGAAGGCGGCAUCCUGGACCGACACUGACACUGAGGAGCGAAAGCCAGGGGAGCAAACGGG